UGAGGGAAUAUUGGGUCAAUGGGGCGCGAGCCUGAACCAGCCAAGUAGCGUGUAGGAUGACGGCCCUAUGGGUUGUAAACUGCUUUUAUGCGGGGAUAAAGUGAGGGACGCGUCCCUUUUUGCAGGUACCGCAUGAAUAAGGACCGGCUAGUUCCGUGCCAGCAGCCGCGGUAAUACGGAAGGUCCGGGCGUUAUCCGGAUUUAUUGGGUUUAAAGGGAGCGUAGGCCGGCUUUUAAGCGUGUUGUGAAAUGUAGAUGCUCAACGUCUGCACUGCAGCGCGAACUGGUUUCCUUGAGUACGCACAAAGUGGGCGGAAUUCGUGGUGUAGCGGUGAAAUGCUUAGAUAUCACGAAGAACUCCGAUUGCGAAGGCAGCUCACUGGAGCGCAACUGACGCUGAAGCUCGAAAGUGCGGGUAUCGAACAGGAUUAGAUACCCUGGUAGU
rnacentral:rRNA from 1 species